rnacentral:misc_RNA from 1 species
UGCUCAUUCACCGCUAUUCCAAUUUUGACCUUCUCCUUUUUUCCCCUUCAAUUCAAUUUAUCCAUUAGAACCAAACAAUACUGAUCUUCGCCGGCGUAAUUCCGGCCCCGGCAACGGUCCCGGCAGAGAAGAUAUUUUGUUGUAAAAUCAGCUUCGUCCAUAUGACUGAAACUACGAUGAUUCAAACCCUACGUUAUUACCUCUCUGAACAUCCUUCAAUCGUCGGAUUCCGAUGGACUGAUAGCCAAUCAUGGGGCAACACGUGGGUUUUCCUGUUUAUUUCGAUAUCGGCCUACAUUAUUUUAUCAGUUUUCCUCCAUCUCUUCCUCCUCCUGGUGUUCCGUCACCGUCGUCCUCUUCCUCUGGGUCCGAUCCCUGCUGUUCACUCUCUUUCCAUGGCGUUAAUCUCGUUUACUAUAUUCGCCGGAAUCCUCCUCUCCGCUGCGGCAGAGAUCCGUGAUACCCGUUGGUUCUGGCGGAGGUACAAAACGACAGCGUUUCAAUGGCUUCUGUGUUUCCCUAUCGGUACUCGUCCAUCGGGUCGGGUUUUUUUCUGGUCCUACAUCUUCUACCUCUCUCGAUUCGUUCACAGUUUGCGUACGUUUUUCACCAUCCUCCGUCGUCGUAAACUGUCGUUUUAUCAGCUAUUCAAUCACUCCAUUUUAAUUUUCAUGUCAUUUUUAUGGCUUGAAUUCUCCCAAUCAUUUCAAGUACUUGGUAUAAUAUUAACCACAUCAAUUUACUCAGUGGUUUAUGGUUACAGAUUUUGGACUGCUGUUGGAUUACCGAGUAAGUGUUUUCAUUUUGUGAAUCACUGUCAAAUUGUGUUGUUGAGUUGUAAUGUAAUUUGUCAUGUUGGAGUACUUUUGCUUCAUUUGUUAAGAGGGGGAUGUAAUGGAAUUGGUGCUUGGAUUCUCAAUUCAGUACUCAAUGCUGCUAUUCUCUUCUUCUUCCUUAAUUACUAUGUCAAAUUGCAUUUGGAGAAGAAGAGAAAAAUUGGAGCGGAUAAACAAAAGGAUAAUUGACCUCUAGCUAGUACUAAUGCUAAUAAUAUAUAUGUAUAUUUCUUAAACAUUUUUGUAAAUUAAUUUGUG